rnacentral:rRNA from 1 species
UACGGAGGGUGCAAACGUUGCUCGGAAUUAUUGGGCGUAAAGCGCACGUAGGCGGUCCGCUAAGUCGGGUGUGAAAUCCCUCGGCUUAACCGAGGAAGUGCAUUCGAAACUGGCGGGCUUGAGUACUGAAGAGGGUCGCGGAAUUCCCGGUGUAGAGGUGAAAUUCGUAGAUAUCGGGAGGAACACCAGUGGCGAAGGCGGCGACCUGGGCAGAUACUGACGCUGAGGUGCGAAAGCGUGGGGAGCAAACAGG